rnacentral:tRNA from 1 species
GCUUAGAUAGUUUAAUAUUAAAAUUUUGAUUUGUGGUAUCGAAGAUGUAUAAUUAUACUCUAGGUU